UUUGGAUGAUGGUGAUUGUGUAGUUAGUCGCUUAGUUCAAAGCUUUCAUAUUUGGGUUUGAGACUUUAACUAAAAAGCAAGUUGUGUGUGCUGUUUCUCUUGUUGAAGUUUCGGUUGCUAAUGGUUUGAUAAGAGAUGUUGCAGAAAAUUUGUAAAACUUGGCAUGAGGCUGCUUGAGCUGUUUAAAUUUUGCAUGUCUGUUGUCCGAUUUUGGGUGUUUAAGUCUACAAGCUUUAUGAUGCAAAGUGAGAGAAUUGUGUGAUAGUUGUGUUUGGAUUUGGCUAUGUUUGAAGGCUGUCUUUGUAAAAUGCUGGGUGGCCGAAAGCUUUCAGCAGAAAUUUCUGCUGCAAAAUGUUGUUUCUCAUGUUGUUUUUCACGUCAUUUGCAUGAAGAUUGCAUGAAAACAAUCUUCCAAAAUUGCAAUUUAACCCCUCAGCUUCCCCUUAUUCUGCUAUGGCCCAAAACUUGGAAUAAGUGAACUAAUUUUGUCAUUUUAAGUUUAAUCCUCUGUUUGCAUAUUUUAUGUGACUUUGGGGAUAGAUUAAUUUUUGAUUGUGGGUCAUAAUUGCGGCUUAAUAAUUUUGUUGAUUUGUUUAUUUUGUUUGGUUUAAUGAAAUAAGUGUUUGGGCUAAGAGGUUAUUUUGUGUUUGGUUUUAAAAAAGUUGUUUUGGUUUAUUUUGUUUGUUUUUUCUGGUUUGGGCUAGAGAGCCAAAGCCCAUCUAUUUGGUUGGCUAAUUUUGGGCCAAAAUAAUAUGCUAGACCAUUUCAGUACUUUGGACUUCCGAUCGGGCCAAUUUGUUUUGGCCCAAGAAAUUAAUAAAAUGGCCCCAUGGCCUAGUCCAUUAAGAAACCAGAGAACGCAUUUGCAGAUCAGUCCCUGUACUUUUCUUUAAUUUCAUUGUGGCCUUGGAUAUUUUCAACUACUUUCAAUUCGGUCCUUACUUUAAUUGCAAAUAAGUCCUUGAACUUUGUUUUCUUUAAUUUUGGCCCCAAAAUUUUGUCAAUCUUUGCAAUCAAGUCCUUUCUUCUCUUGACUUCUUAAAUGUGGUUUGUUGACAUGAUUUAAUUGAUUCAAAUUCAUGUUUAUUUUUAUCCUUUGUGAUUAUUUGUCAAAUAAAUUGGUGCCUUGACCUUUUUUAUUGUUUAGAAGCUAAUAUCUCAUUUACUCGAUUUCCAUUACAAGGGAGGUAACUUCUAUAUUCUUGCGUUAUUUUUCCUACGUGCUCCAACGUGCUAAGUGAAAUACAUGUCUACUUUGCUUUCCUAACCUUUCUUUAAUUUCUUUCAUUUAUGUCAUUUACUUUUGCUUUUUAUUUAAGUUAUUCUUUAUGGGGUAUGUGUACACCUCUUGGCUUGUAAUAGUUAGGGAUUUAAUCAUUUUAUUCCUUUUCCCCCUUUUACCCUAAUGUAAUAGAUAGGGCUUGGAGGAGCAUUCAAUGAAAACCUACCGAAGUCAUGUGCCUAGCUAGCAAAUGUAAUAGUUAGGGCUUUAAUUGUCUUAUGUGUCUUGCAUGCUUAGUUGCUACGUGUUAAUUUGCUUUGUUAGGGUCUUGCAUCUAGUCGAGCAUGCUAAAUGUUAUGUGCUAUGUGUUUAUGAGUGUUUGGCAUGUCUACUCGCUUUCCAUAGCCAUGAAUGAAUGUGAUGGAUGAAUGUACGUUUCCACUAGUCCAACGCUAGUAGGAAUUCAUAGAAUGGGCUAGUCCAACGCUAGACCCUUAGGGAUUUCCCCUCGUUAGUACAAGUUUGCAUGUUCAUUACAUGUCAUGCAUUCCUUUUAGUUUUAUCAUUUUGCAUGCCCCCCGAACCCCUUUUCCCUCCAUUUUAGGAUUUUUGCAUUUCAUGCUAGUUAUAGGGUUCAUUUGCUUGAGAGUCCCCUUAAAUAUGGGAUAUAGACGAGUGUGGCUUUUUCUAAGCCUUAGCACGCUUGUAUUCCCUCUAUAAAAGGGCAAAUUGAGUCACGAUCUAGGUCUCCCCGUACCCAAUAUGCAUGAAUUCCCUAGGCUCAUGCAUUUCUAAGUCCACUCUAUCAUUACACUUUCACUUUUCCUCCCAUUUGCACACGUACACCUUUUAUCCCUUCACUUGCACACUUUCACUUUUGUCUCAUUUGCACACAUGCACCUUUUUAUCCCUUCACUUGCACACGAACACUUUUCCUCCCAUUUGCACACGUACACCUUUUUAUCCCUUCACUUGCACACAAACACUUGUAAAUACAUUUGCACACCUCCACUUACAUCCUAUUAUUUUUAUUAUUUUUCUCACUUCACAUAUCCUCACAUUGCAUACAUGCAUUCCAUUCAUUUGCAUCCCACUCGCAUUAUUCGUGACUUCUUCAAAGGGUCGUUAUUGGGCUUCACAAUUAAUGUGAUUGGCACCACUCAACCUUUGAAGAGAAAUUUCCUCCAAUACCCCUAGGUCUAGGGUUUGCAUUCAUGUAGUGCAUCCAAAUGUAAUAAAUUCUUUGGUUAAAACAAGAAAAUCUUUGAUUAAAUCAACGCAACUAGCCUUGACUAGGUCAAAGGGGUGCCUUGGAUUUUAUCCUUGCCUUCCCCUUUGUCAAAUGUGACUCCCGAACCUUUUUCUUUGGUUUACGUAGACUAGGAGUCGUUUAAAAAGGGUUUCUCACUACUUUUUCCUAUUUUUCUUAAAAAAUACAUUUUUUUUUAGGUGACUUGGUACACCUUAACUCAUUACCAAGUGGCGACUCCGUAUUUAGUUUUGAAAACCCUUUUUAAACUAUAAUUUUGGGUCAAAUCGUCGCAUUCUCAAAACCCCAUUUAGACCCAUCUUUCUUUUAAAUCAUGAUUCAUUUUCCAAUCACAAAAUACAUUUUUUUUAAACCAUUUUAUUUAUUUAUCAAAAAAUGGGGCGCGACAGUUGGCGACUCCACUGGGGAUAUUCGAGAGUCCGAGCAAAUUUGAUUUAAUCAAUCUUUUUCUUCUUUUAAUCUUUUCAUAUAUCACAUUUGGGUGUUUAGGAUUGCAUUUUUCCUUUUUUUAGGAUUUUUGCAUUUCACGCGUAUCCAACUACUCCCUCGCUCGCGAAUGUAUGUUUGGUUGAUUGGAUGUAUGUUUACUUGCUUAUCUCGCGCUUGCAUUGCAUUUGGGUGGGGGACAUCACCUUAGAGCCUCGCGUUGGUUCUUGAUCCCUCCCCUCCAAACGAGCACUAGCAUACGUGCAUACGCUUUAAUUAUUUAUCCCUCUUUUAUUUUCCUUUUAGUGGCUUGUCACGCCACUCCACCCUAUUAGGAUUAGGUGAUCCAUUUGGACAUGUGAUCACGACACGAUGUGUGUGUAGCACGAUCCAAUGGGUCACUCAAUCUUCCGCUUUAAGCUAUGGGUUGAUAGCCUUUAGCUUUUAGUCGAAGGUUGAGGAUUUUGAUAGAUUCACUCAAACACGUAGCCGCGACACGAUGUGUGCGUAGCGGUGUUUGGGGAAUCGCUCGAGCCACCGACAAAGAACCUUGGGAUUGAUGACCCUUGGUUUCUAAGUCUGAAGGCUCGGGGACCUGAGCUUAUCGAGUCUAGAUGCAUUAGCGAACCCCAGCCUCAUGCAUCCAUAUUAGAAUUGCCUUAGGGUAGAGUCGGCCUUAUCCUGAGCUAGGGACACUAUUCACGAGGGGAGGGGUCCAACCCCCUUUUUCCCUUUUAUUACUUUGUAUUGAUUGUUUUAUUUUGUUGCUACAAUGUGUUAUGUGUAUUUCUCUGGCUGAACUAACUUUUCUUGGUUUUAUGUCCCCAUUGCAUUCACAAACCCUAUCAAAUAAGAGGUCUGGCAUGACCUUCUUUUAGAACCUACCCUCGUAGAUAGGUUAUUGCACGUUUAAAGAUUUUGGUAUAUUGCAUUCAUAGAUUUUGGUAAUUGCAUAGCAUUUUAGGCCUACCCUGGCAAAUAAAGGGUUCCUUAGGUCACGUUUCAUUUCGAAUUGCACAUUUUAUCGCUUUAAUAAAUGGCAUCAUGCAUAAACCCUAGAAAGGGAAUGCCACUUAGGGGAUCCCGUGUUAGGAAUAAGCCACCUUGUGUCUCGGAUACUUAAUCCAACGAGACUUGCACGUUUACAUUUUGUACCAUCCAAAGGGGUAGUGCACAAGGUAAGGUAGGAUCCAAUCAUUUUCAUAGAGUGAUUUUUGGAAUAUGAACGUCUAAUAAUCACUUUUUGGCCAUUUUAUCAAACUUGGUAAAAAUCCCUUGCGUAAAGGACAUUAAUUUGAAGAAAUUCACAAAUAAUACCUCCUAUUGAGACAAUAAAUAAAUUGAGGCCAAAUCGUGAUUUUAGAAGGCUCAUAGACUAUUUUUUUGAAGCCACCAAUGGCCGGACGAUUCAAUCGAUCCAUUUUUGUCAAUUCAUAAUCAAUUUUGAAUAAAUCGUCAAUUCAUUUGACCAAUUUACCCUUUUUAGGGUCAUUUGACCAAUUUACCCUUUUUAGGGUCAUCCGGUCGAUUUUGAAUAAAUCGUCAAUUCAUUUGACCAAUUUACCCUUUUUAGGGUCAUUUGACCAAUUUACCCUUUUUAGAGUCAUCCGGUCGAUUUUGCAUAAAUCGUCAAUUCAUUUGACCAAUUUACCCUUUUUAGGGUCAUUCGGCCAAUUUUUGAAUAAAUCACUAAUUCAAUUUCAUUCAUUUGACCAAUUUACCCUUUUAGGGCGAUCUGGUCAAUUUUGAAUAAAUUCUCGAUUUCAUUCAAUUCAUUUGAUCAAGUUCCUUUUUAGGAUGAUCCGAUCCAUUUUUGAAUAAAAUUUUCAAUUUCAUUCGAUCAAGUUCCUUUUUAGGGAUGAUUCAGUCAAUUUUGAGUAAGUUUUUAAAUUUUACUCAAUUCAUUUGACCCGUUUCCCUUUUUAGGGUAAUGCGGUCGAUUUUAAAUAAAUUUCAUUCAACCCGUUUGACCAAUUAGAGUUUCAAUGUUGAAUUUCAAAAUGGAAAAACCUAGUCGAUUUUGAGAAAAACAUCCAUUGCAUCCAGCCAUUUGAUUAGUUGGGGUUUUGACCCGCGCUUUACUAAAGAAGUUUUGUCAACGAAUUCCAAUCUCUUCGAUAGGGAGUUUGUCAAGGUCAAACCCGUGUGUUUUUGCAAAUUCUUGUAUGGAUCAAAAGUAAUCAAUUCAUUCGGACGUUGUCCUCAUUUUGACAAAUGUCUCUCGUCACUCCAAUUGACCAAAUGUUUCAAAAUUAUUUUUUUCACUCAAUAAGUUGAUCGGAUCCGUCAGGUAUGGUAUAGUGCCUACCCUAGAGGAUUGCAUUUUCAUGCUAGGCCUACCCUUGGCACAAAAAGGGUCCCCCCAUAGGACAUGCAUACCGAUUUUAUAUUCUUGCUUACUAACUCAGGGUAUUUUUCUUUUGUUUUUCCCCUUUCCCUGUAUUCAUAAAAACGCUUCAAUAAAAGGGAAAAUAUUUUUCUAUAUCUGAUGGCACUUCCGAUCUAAUAAAGUGUCAAAACUGCAAGUGUUAUUUGAUUCUUGGGCAGAUCCUACAAUGAAAACAUAAAAGAUCUAUCUGGAAGCUCUACGCUAAAGCAUCUGAGAGAUUUUGUAAUUAUUUCCAAAGAAAAAUUUUGUAUAUUUGAUUUGUUAAUACAUUUUGUUCCAAAAAGAAAAGGAGACAAAAAAUGUAUAUGUGCAGCUCUUUACAAGUUUCUCUCUUCUCAUUUGUAUCGUAAUUGAAUGAGAAAUUUUAUUUCAAACUUUUUCAGCAAUAAAAUUUUUGGACAAUCAUUGUUUUGUGUAUAUUUAUGUACAUUUCAUUCUUUAUUCUUAUUCAUUGGAGAUUUCAUGAUGAAUUUUAAGAAAAAAGACUAAAUUGGGAUUUUUUCAACCUCCUGCCUGAAAAUUCACAAUAAGAGUGCUCAGAAUUAAAAGAGGUCACUCAAAAGGCCCUAUGAGAUUCAUUUUCUCCUUCAUUUGACCCCAAAAUAAAAUCAGUCACAUUGAUUGAUAAAUUGGAGCCAUCUUUGCUUGAAAAUAUCCAUUGUGUUUAACCGAUUCAGUUCACAUCUAAGUGAAAGCAAAAAAUGUGCAUUACUCUUGUUUGUUUUGAAAAUUUGGAAUGAUACUUCGAGCAUUCUUUUCUCUACCUAUACACAUUUUAUCAUUUGCUCUCCCAUUUGAGCCUUUGAAAGAAUAAUUUCGCUUCAAAUAAGAGCCUUAAUGAUCACUGCCCUACAUUGGGAAGAUUUUCAAAAGAGGAAUGGAUUUUCAAUGACCAUUUCACUACUUUGGUUGUCAUGAGGUGUAAGAAUGAUAUUUUGGCCAUCGUUUCUACAAUCUAAACACCAUUUAUCCCUUGCAUCCUCAUUUGAGCCAAAAAAUUGGUGGUUCUUUUCGAGUGCACAUAUGAUCGCACCCCACAUUGGGGAAGGAGAUUGGGGAAUUUUAAAAAAAGAAAAAAGGAAAAGGGGAAAGGGAACCGCGAAUUGGGGAAAUUUGAUUCCACUUGGGUUCCAAUUUUCGAAAAAGAAGAAAAGGAAGGGUUUUGUCCGACGAACCACUUAUGGAGAGUCUUCCUCAGUCAAUUAAUUCAGAUACAUGCAAGAAAUUUCGCAUUAAUGAAAGUUUCUUUUCAGAGUUAUUGCAAGGAACGGAACAAAAGUCAGGCCCUCUUCUUUUCCAAUCAAACAUUCUAUCCCUAGUUAUCCCUUUGAGCCAUCAGAAUAAAUUAUUUCGUUUGGCAACCCCUGAGAAUCGCAAACCCCACACUGGGGCAAGUUGGAGUUGAAAAGAAAAAUUUCAAGAAGUGAAAAAGUGAUAAUGUCACAAAAUCAAAAGGCAAAAGAAGAAAAGAGAACCUCAGUUCAAAAAUAAACUGGGGCAAAUUUUGUGAAAGUUCAAGAAUGGCGGAAGGCCGAAGAAUCAAAAGAAGAAAGAAAAUGAAAGAGAAAAAGCCUCAAGUGUGCAUAAACUGGGGCAAAAUUUUGAUUUAGCCCUAAAAUAGGGUUGGCACAACAAUGCGAUCUCAGAUUCUUCAAACCACUCUUGAAAUCUGCCUUCAGGCCUUAACUUUUCUAAACACCCCACCAGACCCCAUUACAAAAGCCGAAAGUCCUGACUUCUGUUCUUUGCAAUGGCCCUGUCAAGAAAAUUUCUGAUGCCGGAAAAUUUAGCUGUAUUUCUGAAUUGCUUGAGUAUGGGGAUGACGCUACUCACCAUGUGAAAACCCACCAAAUUGAGGGAAAGGAAAAGAGGCAAAAAAGCAAAGCAAGAAAAGUAAAUGCAAGAAGAUGCAGAAAAAUUCGACGUUGAAGUCCUUGGGGAAUGAUGAGAAAAUCCAAACAAAUUCUGAGAUCUUUGAGUUCAGAAUAGGGGCAAUUUUGAAAAAAUGCGAUCUUUGGUGCAAUGUCCUUGAAAGUUUUAUUUUUUAGCUAUCGUUUUCAAGCCAAAUUACAAGCUAAUAAAGUCCAUCGUUGACUUAUUCUUUCAUGACAAUCCAAAAUGAGGAUCAUGCUUAUAAGAAAUUCAUCAAAUCAUUUGUGAUCAUGAGGCUAUAACCUGUUUUCUACAUGUUUAGCUAUCGUUUCUGCCCACACGUUACAAGCUUAAAAAGUUGGUAGUUGACUAAAUUUUCUUAAGAAAUAAGAAUGGACAAACUAUUUGCUUUCACUAAGAUGUGACAUUGAAUGGAUUAGAUACAAUUGAAAAAAAAAAAAAAAGAAAUGAGACAGAUUCUGACCUCCCAUUUCCUUAGCCAUUUUAAAAAUAAAGUCACUUGAUUGGUCCUGAAAAGAUGAGCCAACCAGAAAUUGUGACCCAUUACCCAAAACACCAAUGCCAAUGUGAGGAAGAAAUCUUCUGUGAUCUGAUUUUAUUUCAAGAAAAUCAUCAUGAAAUUUUAGGAAACAUAGUUUCUUACAGUGUUCAAAUAAAUGGAAAGUCAUCCAGACAAGUUUUUGCAAUUAAAUGGCCCAUACUGGGGCAAAUUUUUGUUAUGAGAUUUCGUGAAAACAAGCCCACACUGGGGCAAAAUAUUUUUGUUAGUCCAAUUGAGGAUUUCGCCCAAGAAUCAAAUAAUGCAUCUUUCAAAUCAAUCACGCUGCUCUUUUCAUGUAAAUGUGAAUGCAUGUCAUAUUUUGGUAAGCCCCAUGUGCAGGUAUUCAUUGUUGAAAUCGACGAAAGAGCAUCUGGUGAUGUGGAAGGCCGAUGCCGAAGAAAGAGAAAAAGAAGGGAAAAGGGCCCUACACUGGGGCAAAUUAUUUUUGAAAAAGAUUCUUACAAAAAAUCAGAAAAAUUCAAAAAUUUCAAAAGUCAAAAAUCAAGUUCAACUUCUUGUUUCUUGGAAAAUCAAAUUUAAUUGCUUGUUUCUUGGCAAAUCAAAUUCAAUUUCUUGACCAAUUGGAUGGCAGGAUUGGGUUUUAUCCCACUAACCAUUCGCAAAAGCACGUUGGGACCGGGUUUUAUCCCGCCAAUAUCGGCAGGACUUUAUCCCGGACCGCUUACUUCGGCAGGACCGGGUCUUAUCCCGCUGACCGCUUAUUUCGGCAGGACCGGGUUUUAUCCCGCUUCUUAUCCCGCUGACCGCUGACCGCUUAUUUCCUUGGCACCGGCUCGGGUUAAUCACACUGACCAAUUCAUUACACUGGGGCAAAUUAUUGCAAAAAGUCUCUUUCAGUCAGAAAAAAAAAUCAAAAAAUCAAAAAUCAAAAAUAAAAAAAUCAAAAAUAAAAUCAAAAAUCAAAAAAAAAUCAAAAAAAAAUCAAAAAAUCAAAAAAAAAUCAAAAAAAAUCAAAAAAUCAAAAAAUCAAAAAAAAAUCAAAAAUCAAAAAAAAUCAAAAAAAAAAAAAUCAAUCAAUUUCUUAUUUCUUGAAAAUCCAAUUUUCAUUUCUUGUUUGCAAAAUCUCAGCGCCCGCCGCGCACCCUUCCAUUCCCCAUUCUUGACAACCACAUUGAACUCACUGACUUCUACCGCCGUUAGCAUCGAGUCUAUCUCACUAACGUGCGUGUUUUCAUUCUACCGCCGUUAGCAUCGAGUCUAUCUCACUAACGUGCGUGUUUUCAUUUCUACAGCCGUUAGCAUCGAGUCUAUCUCACUAACGUGCGUGUUUUCAUCCUACCGCCGUUAGCAUCGAGCCUAUCUCACUAAUGUGCGUGUUUUCAUCCCACCAACACUCCAUCUCACUUCAAUUCAUCUAAUUUUACAUUUCUGUUCGGGUCUAUCCCAUUUAAAUUUCUGUCCGAGUCUAUCCCGCUUGCAUUUUCUGUUCGGGUCUAUCCCAUUUAAAUUUAUGCCUGGGUCUAUCCCAUUUUACGUUUCUGUUCGGAUCUAUCCCGUGGGUCUAUCCCAAAUUUAAAUUUCUGUCCGGGUCUAUCCCGUGGGUCUAUCCCAAUUUUAAAUUUCUGUUUCUGUCCGGGUCUAUCCCGUGGGUCUCUCCCAAUUUUAAAUUUCUGUCCGGGUCUAUCCCGUGGGUCUAUCCCAAUUUUUAAAUUUCUGAUCGGGUCAGUCCCGUUUUAAAAUUUCCUGUUCGGGUCAGUCCCGUUUUAAUUUUAUGUUUGGGUCAGUCCCAUUUUAGAAUUCUUGUUCGUUGGAAUCAUUUUGCAGCCGAAUAAUGCAGGUAGGUAUUUGGUGUCUACUUUUUUAUCUCAAGUUUUUUCAAAACUCAGACAAAGAGGGGCAAACUGUAGACACCAAAUUUUUGGUGUAAUUUCAUUUACUGUUUAUUUUUUUUAGUUUUUAUUUGUCGUGUUAGUUUUAUUCGAUUUUUAGUUUUUAGUUUAUAGUUUUAUUUUUAUUUUUAAGUUUUUAGCGUAGAAUUUCUCGGAAAAAAAGAAGAAAAAGAAAAAAAGCUUUCAAAAAAAUAUGCUUUAGUUGUUUUGAUUUAAAUUCAAUGUUUUCUUGAAAAAUAAUAAAAAAAAAAAAGAAAAUUGUUCACUAAAAUGUGUUUAUUUCUUUUAAAUUCAAUUUUGCAGCGUUUCUUUUAAAAAUAUUUCAUUACGUGUUAAAAAAAUGAAAAAAAAAGAGACAGGCUUAUGGACCUUGAGAAGCGUAGGAUUAUAACCUUUCCUCAUUAUUUCUUUUCGGCAAAACGCAGAUACAAAAAUUGUUUCUUAGCUCAUUUGCCGGUUUUUCCCUUCAUUUAUUUUACUCCGUUUGAUCGCUCCACUUGGCCCUCAUCUGUCAAAGCUGGAAGUUGAAGAUGAUCGGAUGAUCGAGGAAAUGCGGUGAGAUGAGAUUUGCUGAGGGCCUUUGAUAUCAGGUUUUUGGAGGGUUUAGCCAUUCGGGAGGAGGAUAAAAAGGAAAAAGAAAGAGACCAGAGGGGGGGCUUCGGAUGAAAAGAGGAAGAGGAAAUAGAGAGGGAUAGCCGGGAGCAAAACAAAAAGAGAAAGUCAGAGAGAGACGGACGAAGAGGAAGGAAGUAAAUCUGGGAAAUGGAAGAGAGUUUCUGUGAGAGCAAAACAAAGGCUGCAGAAAACAGGGCAGCCGAAGCUGCUGCACUCGCGAGGAGCCACCACCCCCCACUUCGUCGGAGGCCGCCGCCAUCGGCACAUCUUUGCCGAGGAAAUAUGUGUGGUAAGAGAUCCUUUUUCUUUGAAAUUCAUUUUUCUGUGCAAGUUCAUAUUUGGAAAUUUAAAACAGAGGAUGAUUUCUCGAAUUUUCUUUGUGGAUUGUCCACAAUUUUGACCGAGCAUGCUUUAUGGAUUGGUUGGGAUAUUUUGUUUUGUUUCCUGACAAAAAUUUUGGGCUAGCUAUGGCAUCAAUUGAACAAAAAUCAUUGAAUUUUUCAAUACCCGUCUGGUGUUUGAUGAAAUGCUCGAUUGAAACCCGUAGUUUAUCCCUUUUCGUGUCUCCCAUUCAUGUGACGUAUAUAAUUUCUGUUAUUUAAGAGUAAUUUGAUUGGGUUUGCUGAUAAUUUUUGGGACAGAUUAUAACAUCAACUAGGCAAAAGGACAGUGAAAUCUUAAUGUCUUUCUUGUCCAACGAAAUGUCAGACUAGAAAUUCAUCUUAAAAAUGAUUCAUCUGCGGUUUUAUGUGAGGAAAAUGAACAAGUCAUCGAGUUCAAUUCCUUUCCUCCCAUUUGAGAAUCUUUGGUGCAUGGCUGCCUUACAUUUUGCCGUUCCUGUCGCAUCCAUCAUAUGCAUUCGAAUUAAGGUUGGGAGGGGAAGUUCUUGUGGGUUUCAUUGUCUGAUUGAGAGUGCUUGAAUUCGAAACUAAAUUUCUGAUGUUGCUGACCGGAAGAAAGCUGAAAUGGUACUUGAUGUUAGUUUAUUUGGUACAUUUUUCAUCGAGAUGCUUUCCAUCAUGUCAAGUCAUCUGUUUGUGUUGUGCCGUAUGUUCAUUACCUGAUGUUUGUAUGCGGGAGACAAAAUUCGAUGUUUGAUGUUGAGUUGAGGAACUCUGUCCAAAUCUGUGUUAUGUGUUCAAAUGUUCGCCGGGUAGGUGAACUUCUGUAGCUUCAGAAAACUUCGACCAAGCUGCCUGAAUUUUUGUUUAGAAACUUGUGUUUUUCAGCCCCACUUUAUCUUAGACUUCAUUGGCUUGUAUGUUCACAUUUAUGUUGGAUGACGGUCUUAUGAAAUUUGGCGAUUGUUUGAGUUCAAAGCUUGGUUUAGAACCAUCACAAGCUUCCUGGUUGUUGAAUAAGAAAUAGAGAAAGUUGCAGCAGAUUUCUUUUUUUCAAAUGUUUGCAUGUUGUUCCAGAAUUUUGCAUGAGAUUUUUCUAAAUGUUCUUCCUGUUUGGAUGAUGGUGAUUGUGUAGUUAGUCGCUUAGUUCAAAGCUUUCAUAUUUGGGUUUGAGACUUUAACUAAAAAGCAAGUUGUGUGUGCUGUUUCUCUUGUUGAAGUUUCGGUUGCUAAUGGUUUGAUAAGAGAUGUUGCAGAAAAUUUGUAAAACUUGGCAUGAGGCUGCUUGAGCUGUUUAAAUUUUGCAUGUCUGUUGUCCGAUUUUGGGUGUUUAAGUCUACAAGCUUUAUGAUGCAAAGUGAGAGAAUUGUGUGAUAGUUGUGUUUGGAUUUGGCUAUGUUUGAAGGCUGUCUUUGUAAAAUGCUGGGUGGCCGAAAGCUUUCAGCAGAAAUUUCUGCUGCAAAAUGUUGUUUCUCAUGUUGUUUUUCACGUCAUUUGCAUGAAGAUUGCAUGAAAACAAUCUUCCA
rnacentral:lncRNA from 1 species